AGGAUUAGGUAGUUGGUUAGGUAAAGGCUGACCAAGCCAUUUAUCCUUAGUUGAUUUGAGAGAUUGAUCAGCCACAGUGGGAAUGAAAAAAGACCCAAACUCUUUUGAGGCAGCAGUGAGGAAUAUUGGACAAUGAGCGAAAGCUUGAUCCAGCAAUACUGAGUAAAUGAAGAAGGUUAUUUGAUUGUAAAGUUUUUUAGCUAAAUAAAAUAGUGAUGUUAUUUAGAAAAUAAGUUCCGGCUAACUUCGUGCCAGCAGCCGCGGUAAAACGGGGGGAACAAGCGUUAUUCAUCAUAACUGGGCGUAAAGGGCAAGCAGACUGUUGAUAAAGUUAAUAUAUUAAAAUUAUAAUUUAUUUAAUACUUAUCAGCUUGAGUUUAUAAAAGGAUUGGAGUACUCUUAAUGGAAAGGUGACAUUUUAAGAUAUUAAUGGGGACUGUCUAUGUGCUAAAGCACCAAUCUAGUAUAAUAACUGACGUUCAUAUGCUAAAGUAUGAGGAGCAAAUGGGAUUAGAGACCCCAGUAGUCCUAGGAGUAAACUAUGGACACCAGGUAUUUACCUAGCAUAUAAAAAUGUGCCAAAGGGGAGUACCGAAGUUAACGCAUUGAGUGUCCCGCCUGGGGAGUACGUUCAACUGAAUAAAACUCAAAGGAAUUGACGGGGGCCUGCACAAGCGGUGGAUCAUGUGGUUUAAUUCGAUGCAAAGCGAAGAACCUUACCAGGGCUUGACAUGCCACUUCUACAGCUGAAAGGUUGUAUUUUAUUGAUUGAAUCUCUGAUUCACACAAUUAGGUGGACACAGGUGGUGCAUGGCUGUCGUCAGCUCGUGUUGUGAAAUGUCGGGUUAAGUCCUAGAACGAGCGCAACCCUUGUCUUUAGUUGUAUUGUCUAAAGAGACUGCCGGUGAUAAACCGGAGGAAGGUGAGGACGACGUCAAGUCAUCAUGCCCCUUAUGUCCUGGGCUACACACGUGAUACAAUGGCCGGGACAAAAAGUAAUAGCUCAAAACCCGGUCUUAGUUCGGAUUGUAAGCUGCAAUUCGCUUACAUGAAGGUGGAAUCGCUAGUAAUCGCCGGUCAGCCACACGGCGGUGAAUAUGUUCCCAGGCCUUGUACACACCGCCCGUCACACCAUGGAAGCUGGCUCAGCCCAAAGACGUUACCACAAACCUUCGGGAUGGGGACGUCAAAUGCGGGGCUAGUAACUAGGGUGAAGUCGUAACAAGGUAGCCGUACUGGAAGGUGCGGCUGGAUCACCU
rnacentral:rRNA from 1 species